CGCCUGGGGAGUGCGGCCGCAAGGCUAAAACUCAAAGGAAUUGACGGGGGCCCGCACAAGCGGCGGAGCAUGCGGAUUAAUUCGAUGCAACGCGAAGAACCUUACCAAGGCUUGACAUAACUGCGAUGUUCCAGAGAUGGGGCAGCCUUCGGGGUGGUGUACAGGUGGUGCAUGGUUGUCGUCAGCUCGUGUCGUGAGAUGUUGGGUUAAGUCCCGCAACGAGCGCAACCCUUGUCUCGUGUUGCCAGCAUUUGGUUGGGGACUCACGAGAGACUGCCGGGGUUAACUCGGAGGAAGGUGGGGAUGACGUCAAAUCAUCAUGCCCCUUAUGUCUUGGGCUUCACGCAUGCUACAAUGGCCGGUACAGAGGGUUGCGAUGUCGUGAGGCGGAGCGAAUCCCUUAAAGCCGGUCUCAGUUCGGAUUGGGGUCUGCAACUCGACCCCAUGAAGUCGGAGUCGCUAGUAGUCGCAGAUCAGAACGCUGCGGUGAAUACGUUCCCGGGCCUUGAACACACCGCCCGUC
rnacentral:rRNA from 1 species